UUUCCGUAGGUGAACCUGCGGAAGGAUCAUUGUCGAAACCUGCCCAGCAGAACGACCCGCGAACUUGUAUAAACAACCGGGGGCGGGGGGCGUUCUCGCCCCGUGCCCCCGAACGGCGGGGAGACACUCGUGCCUUCUUGCCGAACAACGAACCCCGGCGCGGUCUGCGCCAAGGAACUUCAACUAAAGAGUGCCUCCGGUCGCCUCGGAAACGGCGUGCGUGCCGGGGGCGAAUCUUGUGCAAAACCAUAACGACUCUCGGCAACGGAUAUCUCGGCUCUCGCAUCGAUGAAGAGCGCAGC
rnacentral:misc_RNA from 1 species